rnacentral:rRNA from 1 species
GACGAACGCUGGCGGCGUGCUUAACACAUGCAAGUCGAACGGAAAGGCCCUGCUUUUGUGGGGUGCUCGAGUGGCGAACGGGUGAGUAACACGUGAGUAACCUGCCCUCGACUUGGGGAUAACUUCAGGAAACUGGGGCUAAUACCGGAUAGGAGCUCCUGCUGCAUGGUGGGGGUUGGAAAGUUUCGGCGGUUGGGGAUGGACUCGCGGCUUAUCAGCUUGUUGGUGGGGUAGUGGCUUACCAAGGCUUUGACGGGUAGCCGGCCUGAGAGGGUGAACGGCCACAUUGGGACUGAGAUACCGCCCAGACUCCUACGGGAGGCAGCAGUGGGGAAUAUUGCACAAUGGGCGGAAGCCUGAUGCAGCAACGCCGCGUGCGGGAUGACGGCCUUCGGGUUGUAAACCGCUUUCGCCUGUGACGAAGCGUGAGGGACGGUAAUGGGUAAAGAAGCACCGGCUAACUACGUG